AUUGAACGCUGGCGGCAGGCCUAACACAUGCAAGUCGAACGGUAACAGGAAGAAGCUUGCUUCUUUGCUGACGAGUGGCGGACGGGUGAGUAAUGUCUGGGAAAUUGCCUGAUGGAGGGGGAUAACUACUGGAAACGGUAGCUAAUACCGCAUAACGUCGCAAGACCAAAGAGGGGGACCUUCGGGCCUCUUGCCAUCGGAUGUGCCCAGAUGGGAUUAGCUAGUAGGUGGGGUAACGGCUCACCUAGGCGACGAUCCCUAGCUGGUCUGAGAGGAUGACCAGCCACACUGGAACUGAGACACGGUCCAGACUCCUACGGGAGGCAGCAGUGGGGAAUAUUGCACAAUGGGCGCAAGCCUGAUGCAGCCAUGCCGCGUGUAUGAAGAAGGCCUUCGGGUUGUAAAGUACUUUCAGCGGGGAGGAAGGGAGUAAAGUUAAUACCUUUGCUCAUUGACGUUACCCGCAGAAGAAGCACCGGCUAACUCCGUG
rnacentral:rRNA from 1 species